GAUACAGAAAAUCGUCUAAAGAUCCUCGCGAGAAGUCACGUGACUCUCAUUUUAAUAAGGAUGAGGAAAGAUCCUAGUGAUGGGGAAUCAUGUCAAAGAAAUACUCUAAAAACCUAAUUUUAGUCAAAGAUGCUUUUCGUAAAAUGUGUCGUGGAAAAUUUAAAAGCUUAUGUAGAAAAUGCUGUGUGUUUGACAUUUUUAUUUAUUGUUGAAAUGUAUCUGUAAUACAAAACUACGUGUAAACAAGUUGUAAUCAACCAUAUUAUCAUAUAAAGUAAAUGCACAUAUUAUCAUAAUCUAUAAAAAAAAGUAAAAUGAUGAAGUUUUAUUGCUGCUAAGAAUAAAAUAUUAUUGACAAAU